AUUAGCGGUUCCUCCAGGAUCGAAGAGGCCUGUGACAUGUAUGUAAGAGCUGCCAACAUGUACAAGAUGGCAAAAAACUGGUGUGCUGCAGGAAACGCCUUUUCCAAAGCUGCUCACCUUCACCUGCAGAUGCAAAG